ACCUGCGCCGCCAUCUCGCGAUCGGACAGGCCGCCACAGAUUUGAAUCAGGCGGUCAGAGAGCGUCGAUUUACCGUGGUCAAUGUGCGCGAUGAUGGAGAAGUUUCUUAUGUGCUUCAUUUAUAUGAAUAUCUUCACGUAGAAAAACAGUUGAGAACCUGAGCACAGACACAUUCAGGAAGAUCGCUCUUCACCUGCAAUCCUGUCAGCCUCAUUAAUGACGACGCAUAUUACACUGUUAAGGCCGCGCAUAAAAGAAUGGAACGUUGUGGAAUCGCAACACUUUUUGGCGGGAAACAGGCGCUAAAAGGCCGCGAUAUACGCGGCCUGGCAGAGGGUUAAGCUUCGUCUUCUACGCGCAGGGCGUCAGGCGGCAGCGCAACCUUCAGGAUGACGGGCUGGAAGGCGGCGCGAUCGCCGACCUUCAGCGACACGCCUUUGGCAACGAUAAAGCCGCCGAUGCCGCCGAGCAGCGCGCCGCAGGCCGCCGCCAGAUCGCUGUGAAACAGCGCCUGAAACAGACCCGCCAGCAGAAAGAGCCCGAACAGUGGCGUCAUAUAGACCAGCAGCGCGGAGCCGAGCAGACUGCUCUCUUUGAUGCCAAGCUCUAUGCGCUGUCCCGGCUGGAGCGGCGUCGCGCUGGCAAUUUCCAUCACGUGCGCGUCUUUCGGUCCCAGCUUGUUCAGCAUAUGGCUGCCGCAGCCUUUACGCGCUGAACAGCUGUUGCAGGAGGUUUUCGCCUCGGUAUGCAGUGUGGCGAUGCCAUCUUGCCAUGCCACCACCGUGGCCCAUUCUCUCAUCAUCGUUGUGACCCCAAAUCGAUACUGUCCGCUAUGCGU
rnacentral:ncRNA from 1 species